GACGAACGCUGGCGGCGUGCUUAACACAUGCAAGUCGAACGGAAAGGCCCUGCUUUUGUGGGGUGCUCGAGUGGCGAACGGGUGAGUAACACGUGAGUAACCUGCCCUUGACUUUGGGAUAACUUCAGGAAACUGGGGCUACUACCGUGUCGGAUCUCCUGCUGCAUGGUGGGGGUUGGAAAGUUUCGGCGGUUGGGGAUGGACUCGCGGCUUAUCAGCUUGUUGGUGGGGUAGUGGCUUACCAAGGCUUUGACGGGUAGCCGGCCUGAGAGGGUGACCGGCCACAUUGGGACUAAGAUACGGCCCAGACUCCUACGGGAGGCAGCAGGGGGAAAUAUUGCACAGUGGGCGGAAGCCUGAUGCAGCAACGCCGCGUGCGGGAUGACGGCCUUCGGGUUGUAAACAGCUUUCGCCUGUGACGAAGCGUGAGUGACGGUAAUGGGUAAAGAAGCACCGGCUAACUACGUG
rnacentral:rRNA from 1 species